rnacentral:rRNA from 1 species
GAGUAACGCGUGGGUAACCUGGCCCAUACAGGGGGAUAACACUUAGAAAUAGGUGCUAAUACCGCAUAACAACAGAAAGCGCAUGCUUUUUGUUUGAAAACCAAGGUGGUAUGGGAUGGACCCGCGUCUGAUUAGCUGGUUGGCGGGGUAAAGGCCCACCAAGGCGACGAUCAGUAGCCGGCCUGAGAGGGUGGACGGCCACAUUGGGACUGAGACACGGCCCAAACUCCUACGGGAGGCAGCAGUGGGGAAUAUUGCACAAUGGGGGAAACCCUGAUGCAGCGACGCCGCGUGAGUGAAGAAGUAAUUCGUUAUGUAAAGCUCUAUCAGCAGGGAAGAAAAUGACGGUACCUGAGUAAGAAGCCCCGGCUAACUACGUGCCAGCAGCCGCGGUAAUACGUAGGGGGCAAGCGUUAUCCGGAUUUACUGGGUGUAAAGGGAGCGUAGACGGCAGUGCAAGUCUGGAGUGAAAGGCGGGGGCUCAACCCCCGGACUGCUCUGGAAACUGUACGGCUGGAGUGCAGGAGAGGUAAGUGGAAUUCCUAGUGUAGCGGUGAAAUGCGUAGAUAUUAGGAGGAACACCAGUGGCGAAGGCGGCUUACUGGACUGUAACUGACGUUGAGGCUCGAAAGCGUGGGGAGCAAACAGGAUUAGAUACCCUGGNAGUCCACGCCGUAAACGAUGAUCACUAGGUGU